UGGGCGAAGCCUGAUGCAGCUAUACCGCGUGUAUGAAGAAGGCCUUAGGGUUGUAAAGUACUUUCGUUGGGGAGGAAAAAUAAAUAGAUAAUACCUGUUUAUCGUGACGUUACCCAAAAAAGAAGCACCGGCUAACUCCGUGCCAGCAGCCGCGGUAAUACGGAGGGUGCAAGCGUUAAUCAGAAUUACUGGGCGUAAAGAGCUCGUAGGCGGUUUUUUAAGUCAGAUGUGAAAUCCCUGGGCUUAACCUAGGAACUGCAUUUGAAACUAAAAGACUAGAGUAUCGUAGAGGGAGGUAGAAUUCUAGGUGUAGCGGUGAAAUGCGUAGAUAUCUGGAGGAAUACCUGUGGCGAAAGCGGCCUCCUAAAUGAAUACUGACGCUGAGGUGCGAAAGCAUGGGGAGCAAACAGGAUUAGAUACCCUGGUAGUCCAUGCCGUAAACGAUGUCGACUUGGAGGUUGUUUCCUUGAGAAGUGACUUCCGAAGCUAACGCGUUAAGUCGACCGCCUGGGGAGUACGGUCGCAAGGCUAAAACUCAAAUGAAUUGACGGGGGCCCGCACAAGCGGUGGAGCAUGUGGUUUAAUUCGAUGCAACGCGAAAAACCUUACCUGGUCUUGACAUCCACAGAAUUUUUCAGAGAUGAAAAAGUGCCUUAGGGAACUGUGAGACAGGUGCUGCAUGGCUGUCGUCAGCUCGUGUUGUGAAAUGUUGGGUUAAGUCCCGCAACGAGCGCAACCCUUAUCCUCUGUUGCCAUUGGUUCGGCCAGGAACUCAGAGGAGACUGCCGGUUAUAAACCGGAGGAAGGCGGGGACGACGUCAAGUCAUCAUGGCCCUUACGACCAGGGCUACACACGUGCUACAAUGGUGUAUACAAAGAGAAGCAACUCUGUAAAGACAAGCAAACCUCAUAAAGUACAUCGUAGUCCGACG
rnacentral:rRNA from 2 species